rnacentral:rRNA from 1 species
UACGGAGGAUCCAAGCGUUAUCCGGAUUUAUUGGGUUUAAAGGGAGCGUAGGCGGCUCAUUAAGUCAGGGGUGAAAGUUUGCAGCUCAACUGUAAAAUUGCCUUUGAUACUGAUGAGCUUGAAUGUAGUUGAGGUGGGCGGAAUGUGACAAGUAGCGGUGAAAUGCAUAGAUAUGUCACAGAACACCAAUUGCGAAGGCAGCUCACUAAGCUAUGAUUGACGCUGAGGCUCGAAAGCGUGGGGAUCAAACAGG